GUACUAGCUUUGGCAGUAUACAUACUAAAACUAGAAUGAUCCAGAGAAGACUAGCAAACCCCUGUGCAAAGAUGAUGCUCAAAGUCAUGCAUAUUAAAAAAUAAAA
ensembl:snRNA U6 U6 spliceosomal RNA